AUUGAACGCUGGCGGCAGGCCUAACACAUGCAAGUCUAGCGGAUGAAGGGAGCUUGCUCCUGGAUUCAGCGGCGGACGGGUGAGUAAUGCCUAGGAAUCUGCCUGGUAGUGGGGGAUAACGUCCGGAAACGGGCGCUAAUACCGCAUACGUCCUGAGGGAGAAAGUGGGGGAUCUUCGGACCUCACGCUAUCAGAUGAGCCUAGGUCGGAUUAGCUAGUUGGUGGGGUAAAGGCCUACCAAGGCGACGAUCCGUAACUGGUCUGAGAGGAUGAUCAGUCACACUGGAACUGAGACACGGUCCAGACUCCUACGGGAGGCAGCAGUGGGGAAUAUUGGACAAUGGGCGAAAGCCUGAUCCAGCCAUGCCGCGUGUGUGAAGAAGGUCUUCGGAUUGUAAAGCACUUUAAGUUGGGAGGAAGGGCAGUAAGUUAAUACCUUGCUGUUUUGACGUUACCAACAGAAUAAGCACCGGCUAACCUCGUG
rnacentral:rRNA from 1 species